CCCCCUGACUUAUAUUCCCUAUAAAAAAAUGUUCGUUGUUAAAAUAAAAUACAAAGAACUUCUAAAGGAUUUGCCUUCAACUGCAAUUAUAAUGUAUGCUGAAGGUCAUAACCGCUGCAGGUUUGUGCCUGUCCUGAUUGAUUCAGGGACCUGUUGUUCAGCAGUUAUCGUUUGUUGUUGGGUAUUUUCCCGUUUGGAAAUAUAAAUUAGAUCGUUGGUUUUCCUGUUCGAAUUGUGAACAAUACUAAGUUGUGGUCCCUUAUAGCUUUCUGUUUGGUCUGGAUCAAAGCUCUGUGUAAAAGUCCGUACUUUGACCUAUGUUUGUUAUUAUCAGGUUAUCCCUCAGACAAGGGCCUUGAAGGGGUCAUUUUACCAUGUUUACUGAUGUAGAAAAGAAAAUAGAAAUGCUAAGGAUUUGUAUAGUGCUACUAUACAAAACCUUUGAAAACUUAGAAUUUU
rnacentral:lncRNA from 1 species